CUUAAGGAAGCGAUUUGUCCACGUUGACACAAAGCGCGCCCUUAAGGAAGCGCUUUUUAUCCACGUGGACAAAGCACUUCCUUGAGG
rfam:Gossypium hirsutum cultivar TM-1 chromosome 19, whole genome shotgun sequence